UUAAUCUGGACAUCAAUCGCGUCCAGGGCUAUCGCUUCUCCUGCAACAAGCUCUGGAAUGCUACCACGCUACGUCCGUUGGAUUAUGCCUGAACGCCUCUAAGGUCGUAUCCGUGCUGGACUGCAAUGAUAAAUAAGGGGCAAUUUGCAUUGUAUGGCUUCUAAACCAUUAAAAGUUUUUAAUUUGUUUUAUUAACGACAAUGGAUGUGAUGCCAAUGUUAUUUAUAACAUAGUAAAUUGGGAGGAUCUUCGAUCACCUGAUGCCGCGCUAGUUAUAUUUUAAAACAUUAUUUAAUACAAUGUCAAAGCCUAGAAUCAAUUGUAAACGACUUUUGUAACAGGCAAGGUGUUGUAAGUGGUUGAGCAGCUGCCAUACUGCGAUCCACUGAAGCUUAUCCUUUGCUUGAUGAUUC
rfam:Drosophila virilis strain TSC#15010-1051.87 Ctg01_8989, whole genome shotgun sequence.